UCGAGAAUUUUUCUCAAUGGGGGAAACCCUGAAGGAGCGACGCCGCGUGGAGGAUGAAGGUCUUCGGAUUGUAAACUCCUGUCAUUGGGGAACAAUGCGUAAAUAUUAACUGUAUUUACGUUGAUAGUACCCGAAGAGGAAGAGACGGCUAACUCUGUGCCAGCAGCCGCGGUAAUACAGAGGUCUCAAGCGUUGUUCGGAUUCAUUGGGCGUAAAGGGUGCGUAGGCGGCGCGGUAAGUCGGGUGUGAAAUCUUGGAGCUUAACUCCGAAACUGCAUUCGAUACUGCCGUGCUUGAGGACUGGAAAGGAGACUGGAAUUUACGGUGUAGCGGUGAAAUGCGUAGAUAUCGUAAGGAAGACCAGUGGCGAAGGCGGGUCUCUGGACAGUUCCUGACGCUGAGGCACGAAGGUCAGGGGAGCAAACG
rnacentral:rRNA from 1 species